GCCAGCAUAGCUCAGUUGGUAGAGCACCGCUCUCGUAAAGCGGGGGUCACCAGUUCAAGCCUGGUUGCUGGCU
rnacentral:tRNA from 1 species